AUUGAACGCUGGCGGCAUGCCUUACACAUGCAAGUCGAACGGCAGCACGGGGGCAACCCUGGUGGCGAGUGGCGAACGGGUGAGUAAUGCAUCGGAACGUGCCCAGUAGUGGGGGAUAACCAGUCGAAAGACUGGCUAAUACCGCAUACGACCCAAGGGUGAAAGCGGGGGACCGUAAGGCCUCGCGCUAUUGGAGCGGCCGAUGUCUGAUUAGCUAGUUGGCGGGGUAAGAGCCCACCAAGGCGACGAUCAGUAGCUGGUCUGAGAGGACGACCAGCCACACUGGGACUGAGACACGGCCCAGACUCCUACGGGAGGCAGCAGUGGGGAAUUUUGGACAAUGGGCGCAAGCCUGAUCCAGCCAUGCCGCGUGCGGGAAGAAGGCCUUCGGGUUGUAAACCGCUUUUGGCAGGAACGAAACGGCGCAGGCCAAUACCUUGCGCUAAUGACGGUACCUGCAGAAUAAGCACCGGCUAACUUCGUGCCAGCCGCCGCAGUAAAAC
rnacentral:rRNA from 1 species